CCCGGCUGGGCUUUGUGAAAAGGACUCAGGCCAUUUUGAAUUCCUCGGGUGUGCCUCCGCUUUCCCGGAUGCAAGCGCAUGAAGGCCAGGCCUCAUUUCCCUCUACUGCUCGAGGACUCGGAAGGGGGCCACUUUUGUAUAUCUACAAAGGAGAUUGCUGCUCCAAAUACUCCUUAAGGAAGUGGAAUGAUUUUCCCUGGCAAUGUUUGCAUCUUCGGGGGAACUCUCAGAGACCACUUCAAGAGCUCAGUAGGCUUGCUUCUUUCCUGGGCAGCCUUCCAGCCAGAGGAGUGAACUGGAACAGAGAUCGCCUCUUUCUGCAGAUGCAGCCUCCUCGUUCGUGGCCUUUUUAAUGAUUGAUUGUAGAGCCAUGCUGACAAAGUCCCUGUGAAAGGACAGAAGAAAUAUUCCAUGUUUUGUGCUGCUCGUCAUCCUCUGUGGCACCUCCUCUACCUGGUCACCUAGGUGUGAAAGUGGCCAUGGACCACAUGUAAACAAAUGAGCCUGGCCCCGUUCUGAUGAAACUAUUUUAAGGAAACUGAAGCUUAAAUUUCAUAUGAUUUUCACACAUCAUAAGAUGUUUUUCUUUUGGUUCUUCUCAACCAUUAAAAAAAAAAUCUUGGCUUGCAAGUUGUACAAAACAGGAGGCAGUCUGGAUGUCACUAGCGGCCCAUAAUCUGCCUAUCCCUGUUGUAGGGAAUUGUUAUGGAAUGUUCCUUAUUUGUAUCCUGAUGAAUCUAGUUAAAAUUGAUGCUCAAAGAAAAUCAACAUAAGGGAGACAUAAUCGUCUCAAUGCUCAUUAAGAUCCUGGAAUUUUAGGAAUCACUUUCUUCACGUCCUUACAUUUAGAGAUGAUCAGAUGGUGGCCCAGAAAAUAAAAAAACUGCUCAGCGUGGCCUGUCAUUUGUCUGCCUCUUUAUGUCAAUUGUCAACCUCUCCCUUCUAUCCUCAUUCUGUUAUCCUAGGUUUCUGGUAUCCAAACCUGUGCCGCAUGUUUAUUUCUUCAUUCAAAGAGAUUGUUUUCUUAGAAGGCACAUAUUUCUCUUUUUCAGUACAGAAAAAGAAAGCCAAUUGGAAUUUGUCGGGAAAAAAAAAAGUCACAGGAAAGCCACAGUCCAGAUAAGAAGCAAACUAAAAUGUGGCUUGAUUUUGAACAGCUGAUGAAAUUCAGGGAAAGGGCCAUUCUCUGUAGGUGGCUGAGCAGUUAAAACGUGGACCCGAACCACGCUGAUGGACAGUGACUGUAAUGGGAAAACAAAGUGAUUAUUUUCCUUUGUCCUCAUAUUUGAGUCUCCUUGGGUGAUGUCUGCUAGCACUCGAGGAAGGCAGUUGCCUGUUUGUCUGGUGGCCCCUAAAUCAUCAAGGAAGCUUCCCAGCGGAGAAUUUUGGAUGAAGCCCCAUAUAAAGAGGCCCUGUCUCCCUCAGUUUGCAGGAUCAGGCUGCAUCCCCCAAGCCCCUGUAAUAUGGGCUGGCAAACAUCUUCUGCGAGGCAGGAUCCAGGCUGAUGAAGCAGCCACCAUCCAAAACAUUGCCAGAGGCAGACAGAAAAAGAGAAUGUGGCAAAGCAUAUACUAACUUUUAAGACUUCUGCUCAGUCACUUCCGAUCACAUUGCACCUGCCAAAAAAGUGGCAUGCCAAAUGGAACUUCAGCUGUUGGGCAAGUGCAUUUCUAUACCAAGCAGCCAGAAGGAGAGAGACAGAAGAAUUAUCAACAAAUGUCUGUCAAAGUGCAAACCAAAGACUCCAGACCAGACACUGCCAGCUGAUGCUCAGUGGAAUAGCCAUGGGUGAGUGAGUGAAGAUAAGGCCCUGUUUAAUGCCAGGUAUAUGAAGGCCAGUGGAAUGGAAUGGACAGCCCUUGCAAAAUUACCAAGUUCAAGAUGUCGCACACAGCAAAAAUAUAAAAUUAAAAAAAUGCUUCAACAUUUGGGAAAACAAUUUUAUAAAUCAAUGUUGGAAAACAAUACAUUUUUAUUGUGUUACCUGGUUUACAAGUGACAUAUAUGAUUUUCUUAUGAGUCCUCAAAUGGUUCUGUGAGACAAGGUAGAACCCAGUGCUUUUUCCACUACACUAUGCUACUGUGGCAAUUGACAAGUCUGUGUCAAAGGCUUAGCACUUAUGUGACACAUGCACACACACACACACACACACACACACACACACACACACACACCCCUAUUUACCUUUGCAUUUGUUGUUUAAAUGCCUGGACUGGAAUGUACAACUUGCCCUAGUAAAGAUAACAUGUUGUAACAGGGAAAUGAUCUUUAUUCUUAAUCCAGAAAGAUAUCAGGACAACUUUACAUUAAAAGAUACAGACAAGGGAUACUUUCUUCCUCCAGAUUAAUACUCUUCAAGAAUGAUGUAAAAGAUCACUUGUAUGGGAAUCAAACUGGGAUGCUUACUAAACAUUCAGAUAAGGCAGAAAUGGAAACAGCUCUUGUUCCUUCAUCCUUUAUGGAAAUAAUUGUGUUCAUCCAGGUAAACAAAUGAAAGCAAAUGA